rnacentral:rRNA from 1 species
GGGUUGUGAGGUUAAGCGACUAAGCGUACACGGUGGAUGCCCUGGCAGUCAGAGGCGAUGAAGGACGUGCUAAUCUGCGAUAAGCGUCGGUAAGGUGAUAUGAACCGUUAUAACCGGCGAUUUCCGAAUGGGGAAACCCAGUGUGUUUCGACACACUAUCAUUAACUGAAUCCAUAGGUUAAUGAGGCGAACCGGGGGAACUGAAACAUCUAAGUACCCCGAGGAAAAGAAAUCAACCGAGAUUCCCCCAGUAGCGGCGAGCGAACGGGGAGCAGCCCAGAGCCUGAAUCAGUNNNNNNNNNNNNNNNNNNNNNNNNNNNNNNNNNNNNNNNNNNNNNNNNNNNNNNNNNNNNNNNNNNNNNNNNNNNNNNNNNNNNNNNNNNNNNNNNNNNNNNNNNNUGUGAGCUCGAUGAGUAGGGCGGGACACGUGGUAUCCUGUCUGAAUAUGGGGGGACCAUCCUCCAAGGCUAAAUACUCCUGACUGACCGAUAGUGAACCAGUACCGUGAGGGAAAGGCGAAAAGAACCCCGGCGAGGGGAGUGAAAAAGAACCUGAAACCGUGUACGUACAAGCAGUGGGAGCACGCUUAGGCGUGUGACUGCGUACCUUUUGUAUAAUGGGUCAGCGACUUAUAUUCUGUAGCAAGGUUAACCGAAUAGGGGAGCCGAAGGGAAACCGAGUCUUAACUGGGCGUUAAGUUGCAGGGUAUAGACCCGAAACCCGGUGAUCUAGCCAUGGGCAGGUUGAAGGUUGGGUAACACUAACUGGAGGACCGAACCGACUAAUGUUGAAAAAUUAGCGGAUGACUUGUGGCUGGGGGUGAAAGGCCAAUCAAACCGGGAGAUAGCUGGUUCUCCCCGAAAGCUAUUUAGGUAGCGCCUCGUGAAUUCAUCUCCGGGGGUAGAGCACUGUUUCGGCAAGGGGGUCAUCCCGACUUACCAACCCGAUGCAAACUGCGAAUACCGGAGAAUGUUAUCACGGGAGACACACGGCGGGUGCUAACGUCCGUCGUGAAGAGGGAAACAACCCAGACCGCCAGCUAAGGUCCCAAAGUCAUGGUUAAGUGGGAAACGAUGUGGGAAGGCCCAGACAGCCAGGAUGUUGGCUUAGAAGCAGCCAUCAUUUAAAGAAAGCGUAAUAGCUCACUGGUCGAGUCGGCCUGCGCGGAAGAUGUAACGGGGCUAAACCAUGCACCGAAGCUGCGGCAGCGACACUAUGUGUUGUUGGGUAGGGGAGCGUUCUGUAAGCCUGUGAAGGUGUGCUGUGAGGCAUGCUGGAGGUAUCAGAAGUGCGAAUGCUGACAUAAGUAACGAUAAAGCGGGUGAAAAGCCCGCUCGCCGGAAGACCAAGGGUUCCUGUCCAACGUUAAUCGGGGCAGGGUGAGUCGACCCCUAAGGCGAGGCCGAAAGGCGUAGUCGAUGGGAAACAGGUUAAUAUUCCUGUACUUGGUGUUACUGCGAAGGGGGGACGGAGAAGGCUAUGUUGGCCGGGCGACGGUUGUCCCGGUUUAAGCGUGUAGGCUGGUUUUCCAGGCAAAUCCGGAAAAUCAAGGCUGAGGCGUGAUGACGAGGCACUACGGUGCUGAAGCAACAAAUGCCCUGCUUCCAGGAAAAGCCUCUAAGCAUCAGGUAACAUCAAAUCGUACCCCAAACCGACACAGGUGGUCAGGUAGAGAAUACCAAGGCGCUUGAGAGAACUCGGGUGAAGGAACUAGGCAAAAUGGUGCCGUAACUUCGGGAGAAGGCACGCUGAUAUGUAGGUGAAGUCCCUCGCGGAUGGAGCUGAAAUCAGUCGAAGAUACCAGCUGGCUGCAACUGUUUAUUAAAAACACAGCACUGUGCAAACACGAAAGUGGACGUAUACGGUGUGACGCCUGCCCGGUGCCGGAAGGUUAAUUGAUGGGGUUAGCCGCAAGGCGAAGCUCUUGAUCGAAGCCCCGGUAAACGGCGGCCGUAACUAUAACGGUCCUAAGGUAGCGAAAUUCCUUGUCGGGUAAGUUCCGACCUGCACGAAUGGCGUAAUGAUGGCCAGGCUGUCUCCACCCGAGACUCAGUGAAAUUGAACUCGCUGUGAAGAUGCAGUGUACCCGCGGCAAGACGGAAAGACCCCGUGAACCUUUACUAUAGCUUGACACUGAACAUUGAGCCUUGAUGUGUAGGAUAGGUGGGAGGCUUUGAAGUGUGGACGCCAGUCUGCAUGGAGCCGACCUUGAAAUACCACCCUUUAAUGUUUGAUGUUCUAACGUUGACCCGUAAUCCGGGUUGCGGACAGUGUCUGGUGGGUAGUUUGACUGGGGCGGUCUCCUCCUAAAGAGUAACGGAGGAGCACGAAGGUUGGCUAAUCCUGGUCGGACAUCAGGAGGUUAGUGCAAUGGCAUAAGCCAGCUUGACUGCGAGCGUGACGGCGCGAGCAGGUGCGAAAGCAGGUCAUAGUGAUCCGGUGGUUCUGAAUGGAAGGGCCAUCGCUCAACGGAUAAAAGGUACUCCGGGGAUAACAGGCUGAUACCGCCCAAGAGUUCAUAUCGACGGCGGUGUUUGGCACCUCGAUGUCGGCUCAUCACAUCCUGGGGCUGAAGUAGGUCCCAAGGGUAUGGCUGUUCGCCAUUUAAAGUGGUACGCGAGCUGGGUUUAGAACGUCGUGAGACAGUUCGGUCCCUAUCUGCCGUGGGCGCUGGAGAACUGAGGGGGGCUGCUCCUAGUACGAGAGGACCGGAGUGGACGCAUCACUGGUGUUCGGGUUGUCAUGCCAAUGGCACUGCCCGGUAGCUAAAUGCGGAAGAGAUAAGUGCUGAAAGCAUCUAAGCACGAAACUUGCCCCGAGAUGAGUUCUCCCUGACUCCUUGAGAGUCCUGAAGGAACGUUGAAGACGACGACGUUGAUAGGCCGGGUGUGUAAGCGCAGCGAUGCGUUGAGCUAACCGGUACUAAUGAACCGUGAGGCUUAACCUUACAACGCCGAAGGUGUUU